AAACCAACAGGGAUUGCCUCAGUAACGGCGAGUGAAGCGGCAAAAGCUCAAAUUUGAAAUCUAGCACCUUCGGUGUUCGAGUUGUAAUUUGAAGAUGGUAACCUUGGGUUUGGCUCUUGUCUAUGUUCCUUGGAACAGGACGUCAUAGAGGGUGAGAAUCCCGUCUGAUGAGAUGCCCAUUCCUAUGUAAGGUGCUAUCGAAGAGUCGAGUUGUUUGGGAAUGCAGCUCUAAGUGGGUGGUAAAUUCCAUCUAAAGCUAAAUAUUGGCGAGAGACCGAUAGCGAACAAGUACAGUGAUGGAAAGAUGAAAAGAACUUUGAAAAGAGAGUGAAGAAGUACGUGAAAUUGUUGAAAGGGAAGGGCAUUAGAUCAGACUUGGUGUUUUACGAUUAUCUUCUCUUCUUGAGUUGUGCACUCGUAUUUCACUGGGCCAGCAUCGAUUCGGAUGGCAAGAUAAUGGCAGUUGAAUGUGGCUUCACUUCGGUGGAGUGUUAUAGCUUCUGCUGAUAUUGCCUGUCUGGAUCGAGGGCUGCGUCUUUUGACUAGGAUGCUGGCGUAAUGAUCUAAUGCCGC
rnacentral:rRNA from 1 species